CCUACGGGAGGCAGCAGUAAGGAAUAUUGGUCAAUGGACGAAAGUCUGAACCAGCCAUGCCGCGUGGAGGAUGAAGGUCCUCUGGAUUGUAAACUUCUUUUCUAUGGGACGAAAAAAGGCCUUUCUAGGCCGUCUGACGGUACCAUAUGAAUAAGCACCGGCUAACUCCGUGCCAGCAGCCGCGGUAAUACGGAGGGUGCAGGCGUUAUCCGGUUUCACUGGGUUUAAGGUGGGCUGAGGUGGCAGUGUUGAAAUCUCCGAGCUUAACUUGGAAACUGCCAUUGAUACUAUUAAUCUUGAAUAUUGUGGAGGUUAGCGGAAUAUGUCAUGUAGCGGUGAAAUGCUUAGAUAUGACAUAGAACACCAAGUGCGAAGGCAGCUGGCUACACAUAUAUUGACACUGAGGCACGAAAGCGUGGGGAUCAAACAGGAUUAGAUACCCUUGUAGUC
rnacentral:rRNA from 1 species